rnacentral:rRNA from 1 species
AAAUUGAAGAGUUUGAUCAUGGCUCAGAUUGAACGCUGGCGGCAGGCCUAACACAUGCAAGUCGAGCGGAAACGAGUUAUCUGAACCUUCGGGGAACGAUAACGGCGUCGAGCGGCGGACGGGUGAGUAAUGCCUAGGAAAUUGCCCUGAUGUGGGGGAUAACCAUUGGAAACGAUGGCUAAUACCGCAUGAUGCCUACGGGCCAAAGAGGGGGACCUUCGGGCCUCUCGCGUCAGGAUAUGCCUAGG